GUCCCAAAAGGCUCUAUACUACCCAAGGACUCCAGAAAACACAACGAGAAAUAAUCAAAAAUCGGAAAAAAGGUACGCAGAAACUGCCCCAAAAGGCUCUACUAUGAUGCCAGUGAACUAUAGGAACAAGAUGCUGUAAGUAAAUUUUCGGAAAUUCUAUACUUUCUUUUUUUUUUUUUUUUUUUUUUUUUUUUUUUUUUUUUUUUUUUUUUUUCU
rnacentral:lncRNA from 1 species